rnacentral:rRNA from 1 species
CGAGCACGCGCGUGUGGCAUAUCAAUAAGCGGAGGAAAAGAAACUAACAAGGAUUCCCUUAGUAACGGCGAGUGAAGCGGGAAGAGCUCAAAUUUGAAAUCUUCAAGGUUCUACCUUGACGAAUUGUAGUUUAUAGAAGUGUUUUCUGUUAGUGGAGUGGCAAAAGUUCUUUGGAAUAGGACAUCAUAGAGGGUGAGAAUCCCGUAUUUGGUCAUUCCUCCUAGCGUUGUGAUACACUUUCAACGAGUCGGAUUGUUUGGGAAUGCAGUCCAAAAUGGGUGGUAAAUUUCAUCUAAAGCUAAAUAUUGGCGAGAGACCGAUAGCGAACAAGUACCGUGAGGGAAAGAUGAAAAGAACUUUGAAAAGAGAGUUAAACAGUACGUGAAAUUGUCAAAAGGGAAGCGUUUGACACCAGUGUUGUUUUUCCGAAAAUCAAUUACGAAUGUUUUGUUUUUGAGGAGUUAUGACUUCAUCGGCUUGCUCCUUUCUUUACGAAACUUCUUAAUGCACUUUUCGGUUAACAAGUCAACAUCAAUUUCUUUUGUUGUAGAAGGGUAUGAGGAAGGUGGCUUUCUUUUCGGAGAAAGUGUUUAUAGCCUUGUGCCUCUACAAUCGGAGAGAUUGAGGUCUGCAGCGUAGAUCCUUCGGGGUUAGAUACGUUUGUGCUAAGUUAUAGCUUUUCAUAGACAACUUGUUGACUAUGUUUAGUCUUGUAGCUUACUCGCUGACGCUAUUUUACCUACGCUUAGGAUGUUGAGUAGCGACAUACGCAC